AAGUGUGCAGACCCACGCAGUGUGCUUCUGGGAGAAACUCAGAGAGUUGUGCACAUUGACUCUCCCCACCUUCCAGUGGCUGGGUUGCCUUCCAUUAUGUGCACAAAACGCAAGGAGGUCCUCACCUUCCAGGCCUCAGGCUGUGUUGAGGUUGGAAAGUGAGAUGUUGGCUUAGAGAUAAUAAUUAAUGAUAAUAAGAAAGAAAAGAGACCUGCCACAGUACCUGCGGCAUCUGACAUAGUUGGGACAGCUGCAUGGUCUUCCUGAGUGGCACACGUACCCAGGUGGUUCAAUUAUGAGCAGUGCAGCUACGGGGGAAAUGGAUGCUUGGCUGAAAUGGAGCGUCUUCAAAUGUUCCUACACUGGAUGGAUUCUCUUUUGGGGUGAGCAGCUCACAGUGACAAAGGGAGCAAAGGGAACAAAGAUUCAACAUGUAUUUCUUGGUCUAAUUUGGUAUACCAGAUAGAGCAGAAUUGGGCAUACUUGCUCUCCUCCCUGUCCAGCAGGGCGUGGUAGGAUGCCACGUCCUUCUGCAGCUGGCUCUUGCAUGCCAGCAGGUGUGUCCGCUCCUGCUGCUGCUGCUCCGUCUCCGAGCGGAUCUCUGCCAGCUCUGCCUCCAGCCUGCCCACCACAGCACCCAGGUUCUGCAGCUCCAUGUCAUGCCAAUGCUUAGCAUCAUGCAAGGUGUUCUCCAGGCCUCGUUUCUACGAAAGAGUGAAGGUCAUCGGGCUGGGCCCUCCAGGUUCCUAGCUUCCUGAAAGUGACAUUUGGAGCCACAUAUGAACAUUUGCCGAGGCAUGCACAGACUCUUCCAACCUAACUGUCUGCCUAAGAAGCCUCCUUCAAGAUGCUCCCAUCAGUAGCAGGAACACUAAUCUUUGGGAGACUCUAUACCAUGUGAGCUCUGGGGAUUGGAUUGGGGGGGCAAGUUUGACAGAAGUAUCACCUGCUGAGUUACCCCUAUAGUAUUUAUAUAUAAAUGGGUCUGUAGCUCAAAGGGAAGGCACUUGCCUAGAAUGUACAAAGUCUUGGAUUUGAUCUUCACUAGUACAAAAAAGUAAUAACUGCCAAGAAAUGAGUUUGCAAAAUCCACUAUGAGUUGAAUGCAACAACUGCUACUGCUAUUGCUAUGAGUAAUUAAUAUGCAUUAGGCUCUUAUUCUAUGCCAUGAAUAACUGUAAGUCCAUUAUCUCAUGGUCUCUUUACAACCUUGUGAAAUCACAUGCCAUUAUUAUCCUCAGUUGAUACAAGGAAAUGGAGGCACACAGCCUAGGCGAUUUGCUCAUGAUCACGUGACCUCUGAGAGCAGCUGUACAUCCAGGACAGCUUUCAGCCCUGUUAAUGCAGCUGUCUCUGCCAGCCUGUUGACUUAAGACCUUUGAUACCGGAGACGCCUCCCUCAGAGUUUCUUGGAUCACCUCAUUUUAAUACAUUAAUGGACUUCAGUAUCACCUGGGAAUUUGAAAAUGGAGGCUGUGAUGCAGGAGACCCUGAAUGGAGCUUGGGAAGUCCGCAUUGCUCACUCUUGGGGAUGCCUGGUCCAUGGAAUCAGAGCUCUAGAUUGCUAAAGGAACUGAUAAAACAUCCUCACUCGCCUUACACUGGAACAUUAAUACAAUGACAACAAAGUAAUAUUAGUCAAUUCUAUUGCCUGUUGCCUGCCUGGCAGCUGAGUUUCAUGGCCUGGCUUUCUGCUGAAAGGUAAGAUUACCAAGUACUGCAGAGGUUAGAAAGAUCUGCCAGCGCUAGCCAGAGGCUUCCUUCUGGUUGGAGGUUGGAAGAGAAAAAAUUUCAUUUGAUCACUGUGUAUUCCUGCAUCAUUUACUGUUGUAACCCUGCCCUUCAAAUCAUAGCAUGUGAAAUGCUCACAGUCAAUUGCUUUAACUCCUAAAAUUACUACACAUUCUUCUCCAAUGGCUCCUUAGGAUUCUGUUUUCUGGCAACUAUAAUAAUUCUGUUUCUAUGUCAACCCCAUGCCUGCAUAUUUCUCCUUACAGACUGAUCCCAGACCCUGAGGAGGUAGGAUUCGGUGUAUUUGUUUAGGGUAUAUGAUAGGUUUCAAAUAUAUUGGUACCCAGGCUUUGAAAUCUUGGUUCUAUUUAUGGGUCAGCAGAUUAGUGAUGACAUUUUGAAAUAUGAUGGAGAUUUUCACACUCCAAAAUCAUAAUCAUGGGUCUUGAGAGAUGUCUCAGUGAUUAGGAGCAUUUGUUGCUCUUGCAGGGGACCCAGGUUUGGUUUUGAGCACCCACAUGGGCUAAUGAUGCCAUCUUCUGACCUCCGAGGGCAAAGUGGUACACAUCUAUCUGUGAAGGUAAAGCACCCAUACACAUAAAGUAAAAUAUAAAUGUCUUUAAAAAAUAUAGCUUGGGAUGGUGGCAUCUACCUCUA